rnacentral:rRNA from 1 species
GAAUUGACGGGGGCCCGCACAAGCGGUGGAGCAUGUGGUUUAAUUCGAAGCAACGCGAAGAACCUUACCAGGUCUUGACAUCCUUUGACCACUCUAGAGAUAGAGCUUUCCCUUCGGGGACAAAGUGACAGGUGGUGCAUGGUUGUCGUCAGCUCGUGUCGUGAGAUGUUGGGUUAAGUCCCGCAACGAGCGCAACCCUUAUUGUUAGUUGCCAUCAUUUAGUUGGGCACUCUAGCGAGACUGCCGGUGACAAACCGGAGGAAGGUGGGGAUGACGUCAAAUCAUCAUGCCCCUUAUGACCUGGGCUACACACGUGCUACAAUGGGAAGUACAACGAGUCGCUAGACCGCGAGGUCAUGCAAAUCUCUUAAAGCUUCUCUCAGUUCGGAUUGCAGGCUGCAACUCGCCUGCAUGAAGCCGGAAUCGCUAGUAAUCGCGGAUCAGCACGCCGCGGUGAAUACGUUCCCGGGCCUUGUACACACCGCCCGUCACACCACGAGAGUUUGUAACACCCGAAGUCGGUGAGGUAACCUUUUUGGAGCCAGCCGCCUAAGGUGGGAUAGAUGAUUGGGGUGAAGUCGUAACAAGGUAGCCGUAUCGGAAGGUGCGGCUGGAUCACCUCCUUU